GAUCCAGCAGCAGUUACCGCUUGUCUCCAAUCAUGGUCCUGAACAUCACCAGCAGCAAAAACGCCUUCAACAGAAGUCUUUGAUGUUCCCUCUUCGACCAAGAUAUAGCCUGAGCUAUCUAGUUCGAUUUGGCCUUCUAACAACUGGCUAUUUGGAGAAUGUCCAAUACCGUAAAAUAGACCUUUCACCUCCAAAACAGACUCCGCUCCAGUAUCAACUUUUUUUACUAAAAUUCCA
rnacentral:misc_RNA from 1 species